UACGUAGGGUGCGAGCGUUAAUCGGAAUUACUGGGCGUAAAGGGUGCGCAGGCGGCGUCGCAAGUCAGGCGUGAAAUCCCCGGGCUUAACCUGGGAACUGCACUUGAAACUACGAUGCUGGAGUAUGGCAGAGGGAGGUGGAAUUCCACGUGUAGCGGUGAAAUGCGUAGAGAUGUGGAGGAACACCAAUGGCGAAGGCAGCCUUCUGGGCCAACACUGACGCUCAUGCACGAAAGCGUGGGGAGCAAACAGG
rnacentral:rRNA from 1 species